AUCUGGCCAUCGUCUUCCCAUACCUAGCCGUGGACACCCAGCCUCGCCGGUAGUCGGACACUCGAUUCCACCCUACCGGCGGAGCCUAGUCGUCACGCGCCGCCUUCUUUCAUCCCGAUCUCCUCAUCUCGCCGACACCACCACCGCGAACCUUCCUUUGCCAAUCUCGCCGGUGUUGAGCUUCCUUAGAUCCAGCCGUUGGUUGCGGAGGAGCACACCACUGUCAGCUCCGACCUUCUUCCAUUUAUCCUCUUCCUCAAGUCUCCAUCGCCUCUGAUCGUCGCUCUUGGCUCUCCACUAACAGUGGUUAUUGGGAGCCAAAUACUUCUGCCGGUAGGCCACCUCUUCGCUGUCACUGGCCAUGAUUGAGGGAGGAGGGCAUCUAUCAGGAGGAAAUCCCUAAUCCUUCACAACAAUGACCGAGAUCAUCAUUGAACGAUUAUAGGCUUGCCUGGAGAGUUUCCUCUUCAACACAGUAGCCUCUGCCGAUUUGGAUUGAAGCUCUGGCCGACUUUGUUGAGGACGAUCCACAGAUGUGAGCAACCUACUUAGAUUUGAGUAAGUUGA